AAGACCUUGCGCUUUUGGAGCGGCCGAUGCCUGAUUAGCUUGUUGGUAAGGUAAAAGCUUACCAAGGCUUCGAUCAGUAGCUGGUCUGAGAGGACGACCAGCCACACUGGGACUGAGACACGGCCCAGACUCCUACGGGAGGCAGCAGUGGGGAAUUUUGGACAAUGGGGGCAACCCUGAUCCAGCCAUGCCGCGUGAGUGAAGAAGGCCUUCGGGUUGUAAAGCUCUUUCAGCCGGAACGAAACGGUUACGGAUAACACCCGUGACUACUGACGGUACCGGAAGAAGAAGCACCGGCUAACUACGUGCCAGCAGCCGCGGUAAUACGUAGGGUGCGAGCGUUAAUCGGAAUUACUGGGCGUAAAGCGUGCGCAGGUGGUUUUGUAAGUCGGAUGUGAAAGCCCCGGGCUCAACCUGGGAACU
rnacentral:rRNA from 1 species